rnacentral:rRNA from 1 species
AUUGAACGCUGGCGGCGUGCCUAACACAUGCAAGUCGAACGAGUGGCGGACGGGUGAGUAAUGUCUGGGCAACUGCCUGAUGGAGGGGGAUAAAUACUGGAAACGGUCGCUAAUACCGCAUACCAUCGGAUGUGCCCAGAUGGGAUGAGCUAGUCGGUGGGGUAAAGGCUCACCUAGGCGACGAUCCCUAGCUGGUCUGAGAGGAGGACCAGCAACACGGGAACGGAGACACGGUCAAGACUCCUCCGGGAGGCAGCAGUGGGGAAUAUUGGACAAUGGGCGAAAGCCUGAUGAAGCCAGGCGGCGUGUAUGAAGAAGGCUUUCGGGUGGUAAAGUACGUUAAGCGGGGAGGCGGUACCCGAAUAAAAAGCACCGGCUAACUCCGUGCCAGCAGCCGCGGUAAUAC